rnacentral:rRNA from 1 species
GACGAACGCUGGCGGCGUGCUUUACACAUGCAAGUCGAACGAGAACCUUCCUUCGGGAAGCAGAGAGUGGCGAACGGGUGAGCAACACGUGGGCAACCUACCCCUCACACUGGGAUAACCUCGGGAAACCGGGGCUAAUACCGGAUAUUCACGACCUCGGGCAUCCGAGGACGUGGAAAGGAUUCUGGUGAGGGAUGGGCCCGCGGCCUAUCAGUUUGUUGGUGGGGUAAUGGCCUACCAAGACGACGACGGGUAGCCGGCCUGAGAGGGCGACCGGCCACACUGGGACUGAGACACGGCCCAGACUCCUACGGGAGGCUGCAGUGGGGAAUAUUGCGCAAUGGACGAAAGCCUGACGCAGCAACGCCGCGUGAGGGAUGAAGUACAUCGAGAUGUAAACCUCUUUCAGUAGGGACGAAGCCGCAAGGUGACGGUACCUACAGAAGAAGCCCCGGCUAACUACGUG